rnacentral:misc_RNA from 1 species
GAUGAAGAACGUAGCGAAAUGCGAUACGUAAUGUGAAUUGCAGAAUUCAGUGAAUCAUCGAGUCUUUGAACGCACAUUGCGCCCCCUGGUAUUCCGGGGGGCAUGCCUGUCCGAGCGUCAUUGCUGCCCUCAAGCACGGCUUGUGUGUUGGGCCUCCGUCCUCCUCCCGGGGGACGGGCCCGAAAGGCAGCGGCGGCACCGCGUCCGGUCCUCGAGCGUAUGGGGCUUCGUCACCCGCUCUUGUAGGCCCGGCCGGCGCUUGCCGACACAUCAAUCUUUUUUCCAGGUUGACCUCGGAUCAGGUAGGGAUACCUGCUGAACUUAAGCAUAUCAAUAAGCGGAGGA